ACUCCGGAUCUUUGACGUGGU
rnacentral:miRNA from 1 species